rnacentral:rRNA from 1 species
GAUGAACGCUGGCGGCGUGCCUAAUACAUGCCAGUCGAGCGAACAGACGAGGAGCUUGCUCCUCUGACGUUAGCGGCGGACGGGUGAGUAACACGUGGAUAACCUACCUAUAAGACUGGGAUAACUUCGGGAAACCGGAGCUAAUACCGGAUAAUAUAUUGAACCGCAUGGUUCAAUAGUGAAAGACGGUUUUGCUGUCACUUAUAGAUGGAUCCGCGCCGCAUUAGCUAGUUGGUAAGGUAACGGCUUACCAAGGCAACGAUGCGUAGCCGACCUGAGAGGGUGGUCGGCCACACGGGAACUGAGACACGGUCCAGACUCCUACGGGAGGCAGCAGUAGGGAAUCUUCCGCAAUGGGCGAAAGCUUGACGGAGCAACGCCGCGUGAGUGAUGAAGGUCUUCGGAUCGUAAAACUCUGUUAUUAGGGAAGAACAAAUGUGUAAGUAACUAUGCACGUCUUGACGGUACCUAAUCAGAAAGCCACGGCUAACUACGUG